AUUCAAACAUGAAUCCUCUUUCAAGAUGUCUUAAGGAAAAAUAAAACUCAAAUAAAGGACAUUCUUUUUGGCAUUCAAUCAAAAACCCAGUGUAACAUCAUCAGAAAAAUCAAAAAAACAAACCCGACAUGGUGUCAGGAUAGGAGGAUGGAUAUCGUGAGCAGUGCUCUCCUGAUUUUUACAGCCAUCCUUAGUUUCAUCAGCGGUGCCAGAAGCUGCACUAGAAAAAUUUACAUUGCCUGCAGGAAGCCAGCUCCUUGUGGAAAGUAAUUCAGAUCCAAAAAUGGCCAAAGUAAGCUGGGUGUUUCUUUAUUUUGUUAUAUUUGCCCUGUUCUCCAUAUUUGCCACAACAAGUGCCUGUUGCAAGAAGAAAAUACCAUGUAGUGGCAGAGCACCCUGUAGACGUGGUCCAUACAGAGAAUAGACGGAAAUAAUGAAUCCAGAAAAAAUCAAAAAUGGCAAAAAUUUAAACAAGAGCUAUUUCAAAUAAUAUAACGAUGGAUUCUGCAAAGUGCUUGUAACAUAUAUCAGUUAAAUAAACGUCUUGAAAUAAAACAGAAACAAAGCAGCAUGUGGAUGUAACAGACUGGUGCCACACUUGGAUCACUUUCUGAUUAUUGUGUAGUAGAUCAUUGUAUCAUGCGCACGUGGCGAACUCUGUUCUUAUUGACCCUGCUAGCGGUGUUACUGCAAUCAGUUGCAGCGUGUAAGAAGACGGUGACCUGCCGCGCUGGUAACGUUCCCUGCAGAAAGUAGAGUGGAAUGGAGAUAGAGCUGAUUCAAGAAGUAUUUGUGCUUUUGGUGACUCUCCUGCUCUCAUACCUGGAGUCUUGCCUGGCGUGCACGCGUCACCGCUACGUCAACUGCGACGAUACCAACCCCAUGUGCGCUAACUCCACUAAAUAGUAAUAUGCCUGAAGUCACGGUCUUUGUGCUAGUUUUCCUCCACAUCGCGCUGUCAGUCCUGGAGUCAUACGGCUGCAGACAGACUAGGAAGCACUGCUUCAACAGCACGUGCAAACCGUGCAACCAGUUUGGAGGUCCAAAAGCGAGGGCUGAUAAUACACAGAUGUAAAAAGCACUCAAAUGGCGCUAAAGAAUUUUCUAAUAUGUCUGCUGCUCUUCUUCUUGUGGACCCUCGCAGCUGCCUGCAAACGCAAGAAUAACUGCCCCAAGUAUUGCUUACCUUGUACCUAUAGAGGGCCCAUUUUUGAGGUCAUCUAUCCGAAACAGAAAAACAAAACAAUACUGAUUGGAUCUUACGAAUGAAUAUAAUAAAAUAUAAAAUGUGGAACGUUAAUUAAUAAUAAAGAUUUAAUACAAAA